ACGCACGCUGGCGGCGUGCUUCACCCCUGCCAGUCGCACGAAGAGCGCUGGAAGCUUGCUUCUAUCAAUCUUAGUGGCGAACGGGUGAGUAACGCGUAAUCAACCUGCCCUUCAGAGGGGGACAACAGUUGGAAACGACUGCUAAUACCGCAUACGAUCUAACCUCGGCAUCGAGGAAAGAUGAAAGGUGGCCUCUAUGUAUAAGCUAUCACUGAAGGAGGGGAUUGCGUCUGAUUAGCUAGUUGGAGGGGUAACGGCCCACCAAGGCGAUGAUCAGUAGCCGGUCUGAGAGGAUGAACGGCCACAUUGGGACUGAGACACGGCCCAGACUCCUACGGGAGGCAGCAGUGGGGAAUCUUCCGCAAUGGACGAAAGUCUGACGGAGCAACGCCGCGUGAGUGAUGACGGCCUUCGGGUUGUAAAGCUCUGUUAAUCGGGACGAAAGGCCUUCUUGCGAAUAGUGAGAAGGAUUGACGGUACCGGAAUAGAAAGCCACGGCUAACUACGUG
rnacentral:rRNA from 1 species